rnacentral:rRNA from 1 species
GACGAACGCUGGCGGCGUGCUUAACACAUGCAAGUCGAACGGAAAGGCCCUGCAUUUGUGGGGUGCUCGAGUGGCGAACGGGUGAGUAACAAGUGAGUAACCUGCCCUUGACUUUGGGAUAACUUCAGGAAACUGGGGCUAAUAACGGAUAGGAGCUCCUGCUGCAUGGUGGGGGUUGGAAAGUUUCGGCGGUUGGGGAUGGACUCGCGGCUUAUCAGCUUGUUGGUGGGGUAGUGGCUUACCCAGGCUUUGACGGGUAGCCGGCCUGAGAGGGUGACCGGCCACAUUGGGACUGAGAGACGGCCCAGACUCCUACGGGAGGCAGCAGUGGGGAAUAUUGCACAAUGGGCGGAAGCCUGAUGCAGCAACGCCGCGGGCGUGAUGACGGCCUUCGGGGUGUAAACCGCUUUCGCCUGUGACGAAGCGUGAGUGACGGUAAUGGGUAAAGAAGCACCGGCUAACUACGUG